rnacentral:rRNA from 1 species
GAUGAACGCUGGCGGCGUGCUUAACACAUGCAAGUCGAACGGGAAACCUUUUAAUGAAGCUUCGGCAGAUUUAGCUGGUUUCUAGUGGCGGACGGGUGAGUAACGCGUGGGUAACCUGCCUUAUACAGGGGGAUAACAGUCAGAAAUGACUGCUAAUACCGCAUAAGCGCACAGGACCGCAUGGUCCGGUGUGAAAAACUCCGGUGGUAUAAGAUGGACCCGCGUUGGAUUAGCUUGUUGGUGGGGUAACGGCUCACCAAGGCGACGAUCCAUAGCCGGCCUGAGAGGGUGAACGGCCACAUUGGGACUGAGACACGGCCCAGACUCCUACGGGAGGCAGCAGUGGGGAAUAUUGCACAAUGGGGGAAACCCUGAUGCAGCGACGCCGCGCGAAGGAAGAAGUAUCUCGGUAUGUAAACUUCUAUCAGCAGGGAAGAUAGUGACGGUACCUGACUAAGAAGCCCCGGCUAACUACGUG